GGGUUUAUAGCUCAGAUGGUUAGAGCGCGUCGUUGACAUCGACGAGGCCAGAGGUUCGAGUCCUCUUAAACCCA
rfam:Candidatus Magasanikbacteria bacterium RIFOXYB1_FTLL_40_15 rifoxyb1_full_scaffold_1817, whole genome shotgun sequence.